AUGAGAAUGAAAUGUGUGCGGCUACAGCCAAGCCUGUCCUCCCUGUCACCGUCCGAGGGCUGCUGGGAUGGGCGAGAAGGCCGGAUGUGGGACAGGUGGCCCAAGUGGCGCCCCCAGCUUCACCACCUGCCACUGCCUGGCCUUGGGCAGCUCACUCCCUCUGGGAGCCUGGGCUUCUCACGGGGCAUAAUUAUUUACAAAUUGCUGCCACUUCUCUGCUUGCUCUCGACCACCAUUACACGCCAGGCAGGGCUGGGACUGGAGGCUGAGCUGUGUCCCAGUUACGGGUGACCGUGCCAGAGCUGCUAGGGAUCCUGAGGCACAAUGAGAGCCUUCCCUCCACCCACCGUGCGCCUUCUGCCUGUGAUGUGGCCGAGACAUCGCAGGCUGUAGGGUCCUCAGCACUCAGGCUCCCUGUACUCUCUCCCUGCAUACCUGGACCUCCGUUCUCUCUUGCUGGUGGCCUAGAAAAAGUCCCUGGAAUGAAAUCACUCAGGCUCUGGUGCAGACACUGGUACCGCCUGUCCAGGGGGCCCCGGAUAAGUCCCUCCUACUCUCUGGACUCAGGGGCCAUGUCUGCAAAUGAGGCUGGAAAACGAGAUGGUCCCUACAAGGCCCUCUGGUACCUGGAGGGACUGAGUGUCCCAGCCUGGGCCCUGCAGCAGCCCUUCCAUAUCAUGCAUGCCAGGGACUCUGAAUCCCAACCCCACCAUUAGAAGGGCCGCUGUCAGCCAAGAACAGGAUUGUCAUCCCCUCCAUCCCCUGCACAACGGAGCAUAGCUGCCCCUUUCUACCACCUUUGUUCUAGGAUGAGGUUCUCAAAGGGGAGUCCCAGGCCAGCAGCAUCAGUCUCACCUUGUAGUGUGCUAGAAAUGCAGAUUCUCAGGCCCUUCUGCGGUCUAUAGAAUUCAGAAGUCAGGUGCUGGGGCCCAGGAAUCUACUUUAACAGGCUGCAUUUUCUGCAGCUGCUGGAGCAGAUGACCACAAACUCAGUGACUGCAGAGUGCACGCGCUCAUCACCUUACAGUUCUGUAGGCUGGGAUCCCACUGGGCUAAGACCAAGGUGUUGGGAGGCUGCGUUUCUUGCUGGAUGCUGUAAGGGAGAAGUCGUUUCCUCGUGUUUUUUUAACUUCCUUGGCCCACGGUCCUUCCUCCACCUUCAAAGCCAGCAGCCUCGCGUCUUCUGACCUUCCAUUGUCACAUCGUCAUCUGACCCACGAUCCAGGGAUUAGGACUUGGACAUUUUUGGAAGCCCACUGUCCUGCCAACAGCACAAGACCUCCAGGUGAUCCUGAUGUGUAACGCACAGUGAGAGACAAAUGCUCUGAUGGACCAUCAACAGCAGAACAGACAUAAAUGGAAGAAAAUGUACAUAAAAGAGAGUCCACUUAAACAUGUGAUCCUCUCGAAGGAAGAAAAGAACAGGGCUCACUCAUCCACAUCAACCCGGUUUUCAUCAUCCUCACAGCCUAUUGAUUAGAACUCUUUUCCAGAGUUUUGAGAUAUUGGCUAAAAUAAGGGAUGAAAUGAUUCAGUGUUCAGGUGAUGUUUCAAAGGAGGCGUGUUCGUAAUGUCCUCCCGCGACGAGGGACCUGGCCAAGAGAAACUACGCAGGAGGCCCAGAAGGCAGAGCCUGCUCCAGGUCGGCCUCACUGCUGUCCCUUCUGACCUCUCGACAUUUUGGUUUUGGCAUGGUGAAUGGGGCUACCACAGUGGGCUGGCCAGCAUGACCCCCUGGCCAGACCUGGAGGCAGGCAGAGGGAAGGGGAGGGCCAGGGAUGGGUGGGUGGCCGGGUGUGUGCCGUUUGCUGAAGUUGAGGCACUGUGGUUCCUGGAAUCCUCAGCCCAGGGACUUUCUCUAAGACACAAACAAGAUCUACACCUUUAAGGGGGAAGGAAUGACCGGCCCAUCGCAGGCUGUCUUCGACUGUUGGGGCUCCCAUAACAAAAUGCCAUAGACUUAGGGGCCGAUAAACAACAGCCAUUGGUUACCCAUAGUUCUGGAGGCUAGAAGUCCAAGAGCAAGGCUCCAGCAGAACGUCUGGUGAGGGCCGCUUCCUGAUUCAUAGACAGCACCUCUUUGCUGUGUCCCCACCUGGUAGAGGGCUGAGGGAUCUCCCUCAGAACUCUUUUAAAAGGGCACUCUCCUCAUUCACCAGUGUUCCACCCCCAGGACCUAAUCACCUCCCAAAGGCCCCACCUUUUAAUACUAUUUAAUACCAUUGCAUUAAGGAUUAGGUUUCAACAUGUGAAACUGCAGGACACACACACUCAGCCCAUAGCAGAUGCCCUGAAGGGGCUGUGAAGUGUCGUGAGUAGAGCCCCAGGAAUGGAGGGUUCUGGAGGGGCACAUAGGUCCAACAGAGCACAGGCACAAGGUGGGAAGCCAGAGGGGGCUGUGUGGGCCGGACUGGGUCAAAUCAGGAGGCCUGGAGAUGCCUGGUGAGGAGCCCUGGUCCCACGAUGUAGGGGGCCUGUCGGCACAGGAGUGUAGGCCACGGGCUUGUGGGCAGCCUCCCUCAGGAGGGUGUGGGGCUGAUGAGCAGGUGUGGGCGCAGGUGCAUGCAUCAGGACGUGUGCCCUGCGGAAGCAGUUCCUGUAGGAUCACCUCCUCCACCAGCGACCAGGAAGGACACUGCAUUUGGACUCUACGUGAGUCCAGCUUCACUAUGAGUGAAGCUGAGGCCUCAUUUUCUCAUCUCUAAGACACAAAGAAGCUGAGGCCUCAUUUUCUCAUCUCUAAGACACAAACAACCACACCCCUCUUCCCAGGAACACACACACACACAGACACACACACACACGUGCACACACACACGUGGUUCUGCGGCUCAUAACUAAACGCAAUGAAAGGUAAACUAAAGUGCCCCUCCAUGGAAAUCGACCCCAAUUCAGCCUCUAAUCCUGAGAUGCAAGAUUCAGAACCAGUAUGUCAAGGAAAAGUGUUUCUCUGCAUUGAUCCUCGAGGAUACUAAAUGUAUAUUUUAAAAAAUAAAUUCUGUCCCAAGUGUUUGGUGAGACAGAGAGAGAAACAGCCGCUUCUGAAGUGAGCACAAGGACGUGGCUUUUCUGGAGGCUUCCUCAUUGCAGGACCCAUCCAUCACCUUCAGGGGUUCGAUGAAACCGUUGCAAAUAUGAUCAAUCAUCUUUUUAUUGAAUUAAGACAAAUGGCUGGUUAUUAAUAGGCUAAGACUUAAUGAGGAAAAUGGAUAAUGCCGCACAGGGAAAAGGCAAAGAACUGUGCACACAGCCUCUGCACUUUUUCUACAAAGAUCUGGAAGUGUCUUCAGUGAGAAAAGCCCCGGGCUGGAUGACCUCUUUGAUUCACACUAAGGACUCAAGGAAGCAAAAACUCCUAGGUUGACCCUUUCUCCACCACCUUCUAUCUGUGUGAUCUUCAGGCAGUGACUUGACCUCUCUGAACUUCUGUCUCUUCACAAAGGUGCUUGGCUUAUGAUGUUGUGCCUGGCAGACGCAGACUGAGAGAAGCAGAGUCCUGGCCUCCAAAAUCUGAGUUGUGUGUGGGACAGAAUGGUGUGCUUCACCUGCGGUUCUGAGGGGGCCGGCGGGAUCAGAUGCUGGCACAGGACAUGGGAAGGGGGUGCAUGUGGGGCAGAGCCGUGCAGCAGGUGCACAGCUGUGCAAGGUCCCCUGAUGGGCCCUCUCUGCUCCAUGUUUCCAGAAAUCCUUGGAAAGGAGCUCAAGUGGCACAGUAUCUGGAGCGUGUUGUGGACUUGGUUGGGAUGCCUGGUGUCUGUUUAUGGCAGCACUUCUGGGGAAACAGAUUGUGUUUAUGUCAGAAAGAAAAGACCAUGUUUCGGGGCAAUCCCUGCAGCUCGUUAGGUCAAAUCAACACCCCCAGCCCAUCUGCCUCCUCAGGGUGCCUCGGCCCCACUCAGUGCCGGCAGACAGGAGCCUCCCAGGGAGCAGCCGAGCUCCAGGGCGGGGGAGCCACCACCGAGCACAAUAGCCAAUCAGCCCCUUCCUAGAAGCAAGUCAGGCUGCCCAGUGUGCUUUCUGUCUGUCGUUCCUGCAGCCUCCACGGACACCGGCCCGGGUGGUCCCUGGCUGGAUGGUCAGAACUCAGAGCCGUGAGCUGUGGCUGCUGAUUCCCUCCUGAAUAACAGGGUCUAGGGAGACAGGCAGACACAGAAACCUCAAGUGAAGUGGGGGCUGUGGGCUGGGGGUGCUGCACGGGGCAGUCAGGGGCACAGCAAAGAGGACGUGACCUCAGGUCCUCGGCAGCAGGGAGGGAAGGCAUGGAGUACAUGCUUUCUGGGAAACACUCAUAUCCAAUUCACGUGAUAUUGUCCGCAGUGCUGAGCCUGGCAGACCUACAUCUUCAUCUUUUUGGUGCGUUAAUGAGGAUUUUUAUUUCUUCUUUAAUGAUUAAUUCCUAAAUUUAUAAUACUUAGGUGAAUAGUACCAAUGCUUAAUAUUUUUGAUAAAAAUUUAAAAAUUGAGCUCCAAAAGGGAUUCACCAAUUAAUAUUUCCAUCAUCAUUAUGCAGAAGUUGCUAUUUACUCACAUCCUUAAUUACAGAGGAAAGUAUCAAUGAAUGUUUACCAGUUUAAUGACUCAGAAAUAUUUUCAUAUCUAUAUUUCUCCAUUAUUAGUGACAUUGUGCACUUUUACUUAUGUGUAUUGACGAUCUGUACUUUUACUCUGUGAAUUUCUUUUUCUCUUCUUUUCUUCAACUUUUAUUUUAGAAUUGGAGAGUACAUGCGCAGGUUUGUUAUGAAGUUAUAUUGCGUGAUGCUGAGGUUUGGAGCACGAGUGAAUCUGUUACCCAGGAGAACAGCCAUGUGGAGAGAGACCACAAAAGAAGCCAUGUGAGGAUGGAGGCAGAGACUGGAGCCACACAGCCACAAGCCAGGAGUGCCACAGAUGGCCAGACUCUGCCAGGAGGGCUCCUCCACACAGGAUUCCCAGGGAGCACAGCCCUCCUGCCCCUGGAGCCUGGACUUCUGGCCUCCAGGACUUUAAGACAGUAACUUUCUGUUGCUUGA